GAUCCGACUGUUGAAUGCAGAAACUGUCACCAUCUUGGCUCAAUGCUGUGCGCUUUUGCUAAUGUGAAUUAGAACCAAAAUGGCGGAACAAGAGCCCCAGUGGCAGUUGGUGACGAGGCGUUGGUGAUUGACGGCAUGCAUAUCCAGUAGGAGCUUGACUGGUUAUGUCCAGUAGCCAAUCGUAUCGCAGUAUACGGGAGCUUUGUGGUGAAGUCGGCUACAGUAGUUAACUGACGUUCAGAUCAACAAGCCACUAUUUUGGAAGCAGUUUGAUAAACACUCACUGUUCCUCAGUUGAUGUCAGUCAGCUAUCUGCGUUUCCAGAGAGACAUAUCAGCGAUAAACCAGCACAGAACUAACCAGCCACAUAGCCCUGAACCGAUAAGGUUAGAAGACUCCGUCGGUUGAACUUUUCAAGACAACUAGCUCGUGUUUUUUUUAUCAAUUUUUACACCAACUGACGGCCAACGGUCGUUUUUUUUUUGAUUGACCUAAUCUUUUACAUCAACCGAGCUAGCAGUUUUUAUCGUGUUAACGUUAGCUCAUUUUUGUUUCGACAAAAAGGAACAAUACUCGGUUUUAUUUGUAUAAGUCAAGCAAGCCGUUUUGUUUUGUCAACAAGCUAUUUUUUUCAUCGAAGAACUACAAAACCAACGAUAUUAAUCACUUUGCUUGAAAAAAAAGGGCUAAAAGUGUUAGCGUUGACAAGGCACCUAACACUAAUCCCUUGAACCGUUUAAACAGUCAUUAAAAAGAGCCUGUCUUUUAACUGAAUGGUGCUGAUUUUAGUACAUUUAACUUGAACAUAACAGCGUUUGGCUCUAGGAGUAACUGCCUUUUUUUAAGGAAAUAACUAGAACAGCCACCAGGGUGUAAAAAGGCGAGCAUUGGUAGAACCUGAGGCAAGUUGUGUACAUCCAAGGAACCCCUCAUCGGAUUGUUACAUUAAUAUCAGUGUUAUUGUGGAAAAUGGCGGCGAUCGGAAUGGUGCAGAUGUUGAUCGAAGCAGCCGAGUAUCUUGAGCGCAGGGAACGAGAAGCUGAACACGGCUAUGCCUCCAUGCCACCCUUCAUCAGCAGCGGAGAGACGGAAAGCUUGAAAAGGAAAAG